UACGAAGGGGCUAGCGUUGUUCGGAAUCACUGGGCGUAAAGGCGCGUAGGCGGCCGAUCAAGUCGGGGGUGAAAGCCUGUGGCUCACCACAGAAUUGCCUUCGAUACUGGUUGGCUUGAGACCGGAAGAGGUAAGUGGAACUGCGAGUGUAGAGGUGAAAUUCGUAGAUAUUCGCAAGAACACCAGUGGCGAAGGCGGCUUACUGGUCCGGUUCUGACGCUGAGGCGCGAAAAGCGGUGGGGA
rnacentral:rRNA from 1 species